AACCUUUGGCUCAUCCUUAGACUGAGGGAAUAUGGUUUGAGUAUCUUAGCUUUAUUCUGGAAGAGUUUCCUUUUAGAUCUUCACCUUGGGUAAACCCUGGGCUUUGAUUUCUGUUGUCCACCCUCCGCAAGUCCACUUAAAGUGAAAGUUUGCCUAGUUUCGCAAACGCUCUAGUGCAAAAGCAACUGAAGUGCUCUGCUAACAUCUCUAGGAUUCCUUCUCUAUUUAGAUUUUGGCCUGGAAAUGCCUUACAGUCUCAUCAGAUCUUUGUUGCUUUUAAAAACUUGCUUUUUGUGCUAUUUUAAGUUGUUCUUCCCUCCAGCUGAGAGGGUUGGCCUGAAUAAUGUAAUCUGUCAUGAUUGAAAAGAUGCAUUCGAAGCACCUGAAGAGCCCCAUGCCCAGAGUUUCUGAUUCACUAGGAGAAGCCGCAGUCUGCACCACCCAGAACAUCUAUUAGGACAAGAAGAAUAUAAUAAUUCUACCACACCUUAUCGAAUAUUGAUUUGCUGCCACCUGCUGGGAGGCAGGAGUUUCCAGUGUCCUUAAAGGGCAAGAAUGAUGACCUUAGAAGCUGUAAAACUUUGCCUAUCUCAUAAAAUGAAGCAUAAUAUAGGAACUUUGGGGCCUGAAAGAAAUCAAUAAUUUUAUUUUUAUUUUAGUCUAUUUUAGAAAUCAGUAAUUUUGAAUACAUUAACUGUGUAUAAAGAAAAUAUGAUCUGUAUAUAAAAAUGGGAGUGCACUCUUUUCCAUCUAAGCGAAAUUAGAUGGUACAUUUGCAUUUACCAUGAAAUGAUGUACAAUAAAGUUCCUUGAAAUGGUGA